GACGAACGCUGGCGGCGUGCUUAACACAUGCAAGUCGAGCGGUAAGGCCCUUUCGGGGGUACACGAGCGGCGAACGGGUGAGUAACACGUGGGUGACCUGCCCUUAGCUCUGGGAUAAGCCUGGGAAACUGGGUCUAAUACCGGAUAUGACUCCAUGACGCAUGUUGUGGGGUGGAAAGCCUUGUGCGGCUAGGGAUGGGCCCGCGGCCUAUCAGCUUGUUGGUGGGGUGAUGGCCUACCAAGGCGACGACGGGUAGCCGGCCUGAGAGGGCGACCGGCCACACUGGGACUGAGACACGGCCCAGACUCCUACGGGAGGCAGCAGUGGGGAAUCUUGCGCAAUGGGCGAAAGCCUGACGCAGCGACGCCGCGUGGGGAUGACGGCCUC
rnacentral:rRNA from 1 species